AAUUAUGAGCAAUUUUAGAUCUACUAAUCAAUCUUUCAGUUUGCUUGAUUUGAAUUGGUUAAUGACAUUUUGACUUUAGCGCAAGUGGUAAAGAAUUUGGUGACUGAUACCCGAGGUUCCAAAUUUAAAGCCUAAUUGCUUCAUAUUUUCAGUUAAGAUUAUUUCUAAAAAGAAAUAAACAAAACAGGUAACAUGCUACAUUUCUCUCAAAAAGAAAAAAAUAAAUGCAUCGUUUAUCUUUAAGCGUAUAGUU
rnacentral:lncRNA from 1 species